GGGGGGGGGGGGGGGGGGGGGGGGGGGGGGCGGGGGGGAGGGGGGGGCGGUGCUGGGGUGGGGUGCUCGGGGGGCGAACGGGUGAGUAACGCGUGAGUAACCUGCCCUUGACUUUGGGGUAACUUCAGGAAACUGGGGCUAAUACCGGAUAGGCGCUCCUGCUGCAUGGUGGGGGUUGGAACGUUUCGGCGGUUGGGGAUCGACUCGCGGCUUAUCAGCUUGUUGGUGGGGUAGUGGCUUACCAAGGCGUUGACGGGUAGCCGGCCUGAGAGGGUGACCGGCCACAUUGGGACUGAGAUACGGACCAGACUCCUACGGGAGGCAGCAGUGGGGAAUAUUGCACAAUGGGCGGAAGCCUGAUGCAGCAACGCCGCGUGCGGGAUGACGGCCUUCGGGUUGUAAACCGCUUUCGCCUGUGACGAAGCGUGAGUGACGGUAAUGGGUAAAGAAGCACCGGCUAACUACGUG
rnacentral:rRNA from 1 species